AGCGCAGGCGGGAAGGUAAGUCUAUCUUAAAAGUGCGGGGCUCAACCCCGUGAGGGGGUAGAAACUAUCAUUCUUGAGUGCAGGAGAGGAAAGCGGAAUUCCUAGUGUAGCGGUGAAAUGCGUAGAUAUUAGGAGGAACACCAGUGGCGAAGGCGGCUUUCUGGACUGUAACUGACGCUGAGGCUCGAAAGCCAGGGGAGCGAAG
rnacentral:rRNA from 1 species